rnacentral:lncRNA from 1 species
UGAGGAUUAAAAUGAGACUUUAAGCAUUGGGCUUAAGCUCAUAUAUAUUGAGCCUAAUUAAAGGUUAAUUAAUUAAGAGCUAAUGGGCCAUGUAUAAUGGGUUAUUAUGUAUGGAUAAGUUCUUAUAUUAAUUAAAGUCCAUUUAGGAUAACAAGCCCAACUUAAUGUAAGCUAGAGUUUAAUAGAAAUCCUAUAUCUUUAAGGACUGAUGUGGUGUGCUUAUGCAAC